rnacentral:rRNA from 1 species
AACGAACGCUGGCGGCAGGCUUAACACAUGCAAGUCGAACGGCUCCUUCGGGAUUAGUGUCCGACGGGUGAGUAACGCGUGGGAACGUACCCUUUGAUACGGAAUAACUCAGGGAAACUUGCGCUAAUACCGUAUGUGCCCUACGAGGGAAAGAUUUAUCGGCAAAGGAUCGGCUCGCGUUGGAUUAGCUAGUUGGUGGGGUAAUGGCCUACCAGAGCGACGUUCCAUAGCUGGGCUGCGAGGAUGGUCAGCCACACUGGGGCUGAGACACGGCCGAGACUCCUGCGGGAGGCAGGAAUGGGUGAUAUAGGACUGUCGGCUGAAGCCUGAUGCAGCCAGGCCGGGAGAGUAAUGAAGGUCUGAGGAAUGUAAAGCGCUUUCACCGGUGAGUAUGAUGACGGUAGCCGGAGAAGAAGCCCCGGCUAACUUCGUG